CCUACGGGUGGCAGCAGUGGGGAAUAUUGCACAAUGGUGGAAACCCUGAUCCAGCGACGCCGCGUGAGUGAAGAAGGAAUUCGUUACGUAAAGCUCCUUCUGCAGGGGAGAAAAUGACGGUACGUGUGCAAGAAGCCCCGUCUAAAUACGUGCCAGCACCCGCGGUAAUACGUAGGCGGCCAGCGUUAUGCGGAUUAACUGGGUGUAAAGGGAGCGUAGAGGGUGUGGCAAGUCCGGAGUGAAAUGCCGCAGCUUAACUGCGGAACUGCUUUGGAAACUGGCGCACUAGAGUGCGGGAGGGGUAUGCGGAAUUCGUGGUGUAGCGGUGAAAUGCGUAGAGAUUAGGAGGAACGCCGGUGGCGAAGGCAGCUUACUGGACCGACACUGACGUUGAGGCUCGAAAGCGUGGGGAUCGAACAGGAUUAGAUACCCCUGUAGUC
rnacentral:rRNA from 1 species